UACGGGGGGGGCUAGCGUUGUUCGGAAUUACUGGGCGUAAAGGGCGCGUAGGCGGUCUGCUAAGUUGGAUGUGAAAACUCUGGGCUUAACCCAGAGCCUGCAUUCAAUACUGACAGGCUAGAGUUCUGGAGGGGGUAGCGGAAUUCCUGGUGUAGCGGUGAAAUGCGCAGAUAUCAGGAGGAACACCGGUGGCGAAGGCGGGAUCCUGGGCCAGUACUGACGCUGAGGAGCGAAAGCGUGGGGAGCAAACAGG
rnacentral:rRNA from 1 species